UUGGUGCGCCGUAAAUCAUUUUUAUAUACAGGGCACGGCGUUUAGACGGCCAUCGCUGGAGAUCCCACUAAAUUUGAAAAACCUUCGCUUUGCAUCGCCAACAAUGAAUCACCGAUUUUUACUGCUUUUGCUUGUGGUUGUAAUCUUAGCAGUACUGAUCGAAAUAACAGAAACUACUGCGAGUUCAAGCCGCCGAAAAACCAGCGAACGGCGCCGAAAAACAAGUACCCGUAGACGACGACGGGCUACGUCUAACACUGGGGGAAACACUGCUGUAAGGAUGCCAGUGACCAAAUUCACACCUAUAAAAGCUUCAAGUCGUUAUUCGCCUGUCAUCCACUCACAAACACGGGUCAGAAAUCGCGCUUUAAUCGGUGGCACGGCGCUCGUUGGCGGUUACCUGGCUUACAGAUACACUCUGGGUCGAGCACCAAUUUACCGAGGGCGCUACCCAAUGGACUAUAGCAACGUAGACGUCUAUAUACCACCCGAGAGAGCAUUCCGAUUGAACUACACCGAGGAGGUGUUGCUUGACUCAAAUGGUGAGAGAUGUGUGAAUUCCAAUGAGAGCGUGAAUCUCCUAAGCGGACUUAAGCGGGCUGCAUAAAUCAGAUGUAAACACUAGCGUUACGUACGAGGAUCAGAGAGGCCUUAAGCGAGUGGUGAAAUUCAGCGGAGAGAAUGCGUCCGUUAACAUUGACUUCGACGCAGUCGAUACCAGGUCUAUCGAAUUAAAGAAUAUGGUCUCGUACGAUAGCCCAGUCGCUAACAACACAAACUGCACCCAGAUUAUGAAGACCAUGAACGGAACUUUUAUCGAGAUGUAUCAAUAUAACCCCGAGGCCGGAAGCGGAAAUGUAAUCAUAAAUUCUGCUGUACUGGUGUGGGUUUUAAUGGGCCUUGUUGCCAUGGUGCUAAGGAACUAGAGGGAUUUGCUUUUCUUUAGCAUGAUUCUUGUGCUAUUAAUUAAGGAAAAAAAUAACAAGUCCAGAAACCUCUUCAAGGGCGUGUGAGAAGGAGGGGGGGGGGGGGGGGGGGUACAAUACAUUGCCUUUGUCCUUUUACCCUUGAUGGUCAACGCGAAUGCCCCCUCCACGCCUUUUAAACAACUCCGAAGGAAGAAUAUGUAAAUACAGCUUACUAAAAGCGAACAAGAUAGAGACAGAAAAAAAAGGAAAAUUACUCUCAUUCCAUUAUUUGGAAAAGUUCGACUUGGUAGCCUCAUUAAGGAUUCAUUUUACCAAAUCUUACACUGUUUUAUUUCUGUUUGUAGCGCGUUGGGUAUGUAAAUACGUAUUUGAGACCCGGAUUAGCCUACACCCUAUAAUUUGGCGUGGCGAUUUUACGAUUUUGAGACAAUGAAAUCAAGAAAAACAAGUGGAAUUAGAAUAUGCUUUAAUCAUCAAAACUGUAAAAAACUCUAACAAGUAAAAACAUGCAUGGGCCAAAAUUAGUUCUACAAAAAUCUAUAAAUGCAGUUCAUAACUGUCCAACUCAACCCCUAAAUGCACUGUAUGUACAAUAGCUGACUAAAUAGACAAGGUGUUUCCAUAAGCUAUAUGAAACGGUUAAUAUUUCACCCAAAGGCUUUUUAUAAACUCACUUGAUUUUCGCUCAUCACAAUUUUUGCGAUACUUCAUUUUCGCGUUCUGUUUUUAAAUCGCAAAAUUCUAAAAGUUAAAUUGACGCGAAAAUGAAAGGUAAUAAGGUAGGGAGUAUUGAAAAUAACUAACGAAAUAACUAACGAAAUAACCAAUUUUUAUAGAGAGGUUAGAUCAGAACGACCACUCAGAACGACUACCAACUCUUCGAACCCAUUGCAUAUUCUCUGUAUUUUGAAAGCAUCCUAUAGCAGCCAGGCGAUAGGGAAAGUGGGAUAAAACCUGUAAGCAAAAGUACUUAACUGUUAGUAGUAGAAUUUCUCUGAUAUUAGGCAGUAUCUGAAUAGAUAAUUCCAACAGAAAAGUAUUAUUACUAAUGAAGUUUUAACUCGCGAAUUGCUUUCUGUAUUUUCUUUUUUUAUGAAAUUUGCUAAAUAGAAAACGAUGGAAGCGACUGGUGCUUUAUCAGAAAAUAUCCUGUAAAACGGAUCCCCUGCGGUUCUUAAAUUAUAGGAAUGGUAAUUAAAGAGAGAGAUUAUUUUCUUGAGGAACCGGAGGACAUAUUGGUUAGAUACAUGUUCUUGGAAAUGACGCUAAAAGUAAUAAAAAGCAACAAGCGUGAAAAACCA